ACGUGUAAUUAUUUGACGGUACCGUAAGAAUAAGGAUCGGCUAACUCCGUGCCAGCAGCCGCGGUAAUACGGAGGAUCCGAGCGUUAUCCGGAAUUAUUGGGUUUAAAGGGUUCGUAGGCGGUUGAGUAAGUCAGUGGUGAAAUCUUAUAGCUUAACUAUAAAAUUGCCGUUGAUACUGCUUGACUUGAAUAGUAUGGAAGUAAUUAGAAUAUGUAGUGUAGCGGUGAAAUGCUUAGAUAUUACAUGGAAUACCAAUUGCGAAGGCAGAUUACUACGUACUUAUUGACGCUGAUGAACGAAAGCGUGGGUAGCGAACAGGAUUAGAUACCCUGGUAGUCCACGCCGUAAACGAUGGAUACUAGCUGUUCGGUUUUCGGACUGAGUGGCUAAGCGAAAGUGAUAAGUAUCCCACCUGGGGAGUACGUUCGCAAGAAUGAAACUCAAAGGAAUUGACGGGGGCCCGCACAAGCGGUGGAGCAUGUGGUUUAAUUCGAUGAUACGCGAGGAACCUUACCAAGGCUUAAAUGUAGAUUGACAGGUUUAGAGAUAGACUUUUCUUCGGACAAUUUACAAGGUGCUGCAUGGUUGUCGUCAGCUCGUGCCGUGAGGUGUCAGGUUAAGUCCUAUAACGAGCGCAACCCCUAUUGUUAGUUGCCAGCGGGUCAAGCCGGGAACUCUAACAAGACUGCCGGUGCAAACCGUGAGGAAGGUGGGGAUGACGUCAAAUCAUCACGGCCCUUACGUCUUGGGCUACACACGUGCUACAAUGGCCAGUACAGAAAGCAGCUACCAGGCAACUGGAUGCGAAUCUCAAAAACUGGUCUCAGUUCGGAUUGGAGUCUGCAACUCGACUCCAUGAAGCUGGAAUCGCUAGUAAUCGGAUAUCAGCCAUGAUCCGGUGAAUACGUUCCCGGGCCUUGUACACACCGCCCGUCAAGCCAUGGAAGCUGGGGGUACCUGAAGUCGGUCGCCGCAAGGAGCUGCCUAGGUAAAACAACAACG
rnacentral:rRNA from 1 species